rnacentral:rRNA from 1 species
AGCGAACGCUGGCGGCAGGCUUAACACAUGCAAGUCGAGCGGGCACUUCGGUGUCAGCGGCAGACGGGUGAGUAACACGUGGGAACGUACCCUUUGGUUCGGAAUAACGCUGGGAAACUAGCGCUAAUACCGGACACGCCCUUUUGGGGAAAGGCUUGCUGCCGAAGGAUCGGCCCGCGUCUGAUUAGCUAGUUGGUGGGGUAAUGGCCUACCAAGGCGACGAUCAAUAGCUGGUCUGAGAGGAUGAUCAGCCACACUGGGACUGAGACACGGCCCAGACUCCUACGGGAGGCAGCAGUGGGGAAUAUUGGACAAUGGGCGCAAGCCUGAUCCAGCCAUGCCGCGUGAGUGAUGAAGGCCUUAGGGUUGUAAAGCUCUUUUGUCCGGGACGAUAAUGACGGUACCGGAAGAAUAAGCCCCGGCUAACUUCGUG